AGGCUAACUAUGCCACUGGCGGAACAAGCUCACACCACUGGUCACUAUGUACUAAGCUAAUCAGGACAAGGCGAGAUUGCGGAGUUCUUGUGGCUAACAUUGUCACCAAAUUGCGUGAGCUUCUCUGUUGCAGCACUGCUUAGACUUCGCCGAAUAUUGGUCUCGAACUUGAGAUUUUUGUGACGUUAGUUGAACUAGAAGG
rnacentral:lncRNA from 1 species